UAGCAGGGAGGACCCACGCUCCAGAAACAACCACAGUGAACAUCCUCUUAACGAAGGCCUCGCCCUCGUCCACGAUUAUCCUUGGGGUUCCCAAGAAGAAAGCCCUGAAAGUACUGCCACUGGGGCACGCCACACAGUCCAUCCAGAUGGCUCCACGAAGAAGCUCAGAGUUGACACCCCCACGCCCUCCCCACACCUCCCAUGGGCUCAGAGCUCUCCAACGGCUUUGUGGCUUGCUGCUUUUGGUCAUAAACAAACAACCAAGGAUUAUCAGCAUCUGAAGAAAGCCUCUAGCAUGAAAGAAAGGAGCCAAAACAACAUUAAGGAAAGAGUACACAGGCACAAACAGACUGGGAAAGCAGAAGAGAACUUAAAAAAAAAAAAAAAAAGCUGAGCUAUCA